UCCAAUGGUAAAAUUAUCAGGUUUCUGUUC
rnacentral:piRNA from 1 species